UAAGUAUUCCCUCCGUCCAAAAAAACUUGUCCCUCAAAUGGAUGUAUCUAGCAUCAAGUUGGUGCUAGAUACAUCCAUUUGAGAAACAAACUUAGACAAGCUUUUUUGGACGGAGGGAGUAGUAA
rfam:Triticum aestivum genome assembly, contig: Triticum_aestivum_CS42_TGACv1_scaffold_625116_7DS